rnacentral:misc_RNA from 1 species
AAGUCGUAACAAGGUUUCCGUAGGUGAACCUGCGGAAGGAUCAUUAACACGUAUCCAACGUUAAACCCCCCGUGAACCUUUAUUGUAGUCGUGCCCUCUGUUGGAAAUACGCAAUCCCUGGUAAAUCAUCGCCGAACAGUUUUGAUUCAGGGACUUCGUUGGUCUGGGUAAGAAGACGCGAGGCAAGUGGUCUGGCAUCCGGAUGGCGCAGUAACGAUCGCUAGAGGCCGACACGGCCGGCGACUGGACCGCUGGGUUUUAACCCCUCUGAUCACCUUUGCAUGAAAACGGGCCUGCGCUUAAUUGUGCGGCCACCAAACUUCGAACAACUGUUAACAAUGGAUAUCUUGGUUCUC